UAAUGGCUACUCUUUUUUAGCCCUCCUUUACCUCCCGUCCCCUCUCCCCACCACCGCUAAAACUCCGCACAUCCACCUCUCCACAGAUUCACGCAUUGUGUUCCACCGUCGAUGCUCUUACAUCAUCGACAUCAGAUUUCCCAAAACGAAGCACUGGAAGGCUGGUGAAAUACUCAAAUAAUUUAUAUGUAUCUAUUUUGUAUUAGAUCUUAAAUGUCUCAUGCCCUCAAAGAUUUUGUAGAAAGAUUAGGUCCUUGGAAUUUUCUUCGGUCGUCGGAUACUGGGAUGAGCUUUUGGAGGAAAGAUUGAAGGAGCUAGAGAAGGAUGGAAAUUGAAAGCACACAAGUUCAUCUUUAUUUGUCAAAGAUAUUCAUUAAUCUCAAUAUGUUUACUUCACUCUUUUUUUCAUCAUUGAAAGCCACGGGAUGAGUCAGGUGUGAGCACUUCCGCCAGAGGCAUAAGAAGAGAAUUGUCGUCAUCGGCGGCAUCUUCGAGAGUCAUUUGGUGGAUAAGCUUAUCGUCCAUCGCCGUUGAUAAUUUAUUUGCCCAAGGAAAGAGAAUGUGGUGAAUUUGUUUGGGAAUCACACGUUUGAGCUCAUUAGGCAUGGUGUUGUGGAACCCAUUUUGUUGGAGGUGGAUCAGAUCUACCAUUUGACGUGCCCUGCUUCGCCAGUGCAUUAUAAGAGGAUAGGUGUGGGGUAUCUUCUCACUAAUACCACUGAGGUUUAUGGUGAUCCUCUUGAGCAUCCUCAGAAUGAAAUGGUUAGUUAGUGGCAAUUUUUGUGCAUUAUCAAUUGUGAUUUUUUUUGUUUCAUUGAUCUGAUUUGAGGAUUAAUCAUGUGUGUGAGGAGUUGCUAUGACAAUGGAAAAUGGAAAACUGAAACCUUAACUGUGGACUAUCACAAAGGAGUUGGUGGAUGUAAUAUGCAUGAUAACAAUAUGAAUCCUACUAUGUUCCAUUUGUCGACACUAAUAUGCUGCUUUUUGUUAAUGCUCUAUAUUUUUCAUCGUUGGUUUUGUUAGGUGAAUAAGAUUGGAGUUAUUGUGUCCUAAUCACAAGGGCUCGCUCGGCUGGUUGGUGGCCGACAAGAUACUGCAGCUUGAGAUUAGAUCGGCAUGGCAGAGUGUGAAUGUGUCGGUCAAUAUGAUACCCACCUUAGUCAUCGUCCAGUGCUUCCUCAAAAUGCUCUACUUCAUGAAAUUUGGUCUCUUCAUAUUAUUUUCCUUCUUCAUCUUGGCCAUGGGUAUGUUUAUCUACCUUUUCUUUCCUAAGACUAAAGGAAUUCCCGUUGAAGAAAUUGCUGCCGUUAUGAACUCUCAUCCCUAUUGAAAAAGAUUCAUCCGCAAAGACGACCGCAAAAACCACAACAUGCCUGGAUUUGAUACUUCUACGCACCAUUGUUUAAUUAACUUUGUUUUUUAUUUGAUCAAUGAUGACUUGCUGUCUAUAUAUAUAGGACCAUUUAGUUGUUUGAUUCUUUAUUUUUAGCCUUUAUGUUUAUAUGUUUAUGUUUCAGUUGUUUAUGUGUUUUCGUCUUCUCCAUCAAUAGUAUUAGAAUAUUCAUUUA